CCGGAAGUUGUUUAGAGGUCAAGGUUACAGGGACGAACGAAAGUGAAAGAAUAAUAAUUUUUGAUCAGUCGAGACAACAUCAUGAAAUUGACGCAUCUUAUUCGUGCAGCCACUGCAGCAAAAAAGAGUGCACCACAAUUUUAUAAAAUUGUCUAUGAUUGCAAAGCAACAGAAACAUAUGCCAAAGCCAACAGAAUCAUUUCGAAGGGCCAUGUUACAGACAGUGCCUCGGAAAUGCAGACCGCCAUAACAUUGGCUGCUCUUUGGGGAAUUGGCAUUUUGUUCGUGGCAAAGAUAUGGGGAGGUGACCAUGGCUUAAAGGUUAAAUUCUCUCACACUUACCAGUCUAUAACUGGAGGGUCAUCUAGCUCCAGUGGGGGUCACUAGCUUUUUGGUUUAUAGAAUAUAAAGGUUUUAUAGAAUUGACAGAAAUGACAACUUCCGUCUGUGAAAUAAAAGACUUCAAACAGAGUUUUAUCAAUUAGUGACACUAUCAAAAUUCAUGGACAAGAAAACCUAAAUUAUUUUGUAAAUCUGAGGUCGUCAGAGUUUCUGCUCCAUUUGUAGAUUCAUUUUUUUUAAUAGGACAGUUUGACAUUGUAUUUAGAUGAAUAUAAUAAAAUGUAAAUUUGA